UACGUAGGUGACCAGCGUUGUCCGGAUUUACUGGGCGUAAAGAGCGCGCAGGCGGUCGUUCAAGUCGAGUGUGAAAGCCCCCGGCUCAACUGGGGAGGGUCAUUCGAUACUGAUCGACUUGAAGGCAGGAGAGGGAAGUGGAAUUCCCGGUGUAGCAGUGAAAUGCGUAGAUAUCAAGAGGAACACCAGUGGCGAAGGCGAGUCCCUGGACAAUACCUGACACUGAGGCACGAAAGCCAAGGGAGCAAACGGG
rnacentral:rRNA from 1 species